UUGCAACGGAUAAUCCGUUGCAAAUUAAAUUAAAAAUUGCAACGGAUUUUCUGUUGCAC
rnacentral:sRNA from 1 species